GGGGAAACCAGCAAGGGGAAGGAGAGGCCCGGGAACGCAGCAGGGCGAGUUGUUUUGCUCCACUCGUCCAGGAAGCCCUAGAUGCCGGGGGUUCAGGGUCGAGGCUGCGUUAAAGUAACGUUCUUUUCUCCCCGGGCGCGCCCUGUCUUCCUGGGCAUUCCUUGCGCUCUCCGUUCGCUUUGCAGAGAGAUCUGAGCUUCGCUGUCUCCCGGUCGGACGCUCGCAGCUGCGUUCCCGGGCUGGGGCUCCGUGCCGUCCAGGGCCGGGUCUGGGGGCCAGGACCUGCUGGGAUGACGUGAGUUGAGGAGGCUCAGCGGAAAGCGACAGGAAAGAAGCAAGCUGCUGUGUUGUGAGCUUCCCUGUGGAGAGGACAUGUAACAAGGAAACUGAAGGCAGCCUCCAGCCAACAUCUAGUAAAAAACUGAGAAUCUUAGUCUGUCAUCCUAGAAAGCACUGAAUACUGCCAAUAACCAUAGAACAGAGAUGACCACAUGACCAGGAAUGUUAGUAAACAUUUUCUCCUCUACGUGGAUGAAAACCUGCCUUCAGUAGAAGAGAUUGAGACAGGCAGCUGUGAGAGAGAGCAUGAGGACAUUGCCUGAGUUCCUGGAUUCAUCUGUCCCUGAAGCUGGACUAUGCCCCAGACUUCCAAGCUGAAAAAACCAGUAUAGUCCUGAGCUUUCAUUGCUUAUACUUAUUCAAGUUGGGUUUCUGUAGCUCAAAGUGUCCUGGCUAAUAUAGGAACUUCUGCAAAAUGCACAAACUUGGCCUCCAAGUCUGGAGUUUCUGAUGUGGUAGGUAUGAAAUGUAGCUGAAGCAUGUGCAUUCUUUUUA
rnacentral:lncRNA from 1 species